GAACAAGAACAAGAACAAGACGAGGACGAGAAGGAUAAUAAAAAGGCAAAAAUAAAUUCGCAACAAGGAGAAACGAACCAAGAAUGCGAACUGCGACAGAAAAGACAGAGUGGAAUAUCGUUGAAGGAUAAAAGUGUCACAGUUGGCGUUGAUACGUGUAAAUGAAGAUAGAACGUGGACGAGAAAUUGCUUUUACAGUGGUUAAACGACAGGUGCACUAUUCACCUGAGGGGCAACAAUUUCGAUUCGUGUUACACGCGUCGAACUUUAAAGCUCGAUGAAACAACGGACGAGUCGUUUCGAGGAAAAAAGUGCAAUCCUUGAGAGAGGUGUACGAUGCGCGUGUGAAAGUAUGAGCGUUUAUUUCUUCGGAAAACUCAUUUUUUCUCUUGAUAAUAAUACGAAUAAUAAUAUCCACGCAUGAACCGAUAGAGAGAUCGAUACGAUCACGAAGCAGUCAUACUCGGAUAGGCGUUUAAAUUUACCUAAUCAUCUAUUAUUCCUAUCAGUUCUGAAUGUGUUUUGUAAGAAGGAAUAUCUAAAGUGAACAUUUCAGUAGAGAGAAUUGCAAAGCAUUCUCGGGUACCUUGAAGGAUUCGUCGCGUCUAAUUUGUCUUAGACUCGGAAAGCUGUCCAUGACUUUUAUUUACAUACGAGACAGAGAACGACAAAGCUAAGGUUUCACGCGUGCACAAUACAUUGCAGUGUCCUGCUGUUGUUCGUAAAAAAAUAGAAGCGUAAAUAUCUACGUUAGAAAAUAAAUCGAAUUUUACUACGAAUUGUAAAUAUUCCAUCGGAACUCGUAGAUUAAGCGUUUGAUCGGUACAUCUGGUGCAAUCGUAGGAAUUUGCAAAGAUUAAUAUCCUUUGGAAAGAAGGUAGAUGUAAACUGUGUGCUGCGGAUGAUGCGAAUAAUAGAAUUUGAGAUGAAAACGAAGCGAACGAAUUGUUUCCUUCGCCAAGCGAAGGUGUCUAGAUGGGCAUAAUAUUAAGAAUAGCAUUGUGCAGCGAUCUUUUCUUUUUCUUUCUUUUCUCUACUAGUUUGCAACGCAGAAAAAACGCCUAUCCUGUAGAACAGAAGAAAACGUCGAACGAAUCGUCCUAAAGGAAAGUAACGAUAAAUAAGAUUCACUUGCUCAGAUUUUCUUUGAGCGAGAAAGGGGGGAAGAAUGUAUUGUAAAAAGGAGAAAAAUAUUGGAAAAAUGAAUUAGUAUUAAUGUCGAUACUAACGCUACUAUUACUUAUCGUUGUCGCUCUAAUUGUAAUUAAUAUUGCUACUACCGUGAAUUUUUUCACUGCUGCAUCUAUUAUUACGAAAUUAGUUGCCGGUAAUAUUCAUGUUUUGUAAAUUAUAUGUAAAUUUGAAGCCGCAGAAGGAUCGUAGGUAAUUGUGAAUCUUCUAUUUUUACAAAAUUUCUUUGAUAACGUAACGAGACAAGAAUAACGAGUAUUAAUUUUGUCACAAACUCUGUAAAGUGUACGAUCAGUGGAUGAAUUCAGUAACGAGACAACACGCGGUAUCAAAGAAACGAAGAUGCGACUAAUCGACGUUGGUACUCGUGUAAUAUUGCAUCUUGGAGAAAGCGAAACGGUAUUUUUGCUCUAUACACACCAUCCAUUGAAUUCUCAUCGACGAGCGUGAUUGUUGCGUGGAUGUGAAUGCGAAUGCGAAUAUGUAUGCGUGAU